rnacentral:rRNA from 1 species
AAYGACUCUCGGCAACGGAUAUCUCGGCUCUCGCAUSGAUGAAGAACGUAGCGAAAUGCGAUACUYGGUGUGAAUUGCAGAAUCCCGUGAACCAUCGAGUCUUUGAACGCAAGUUGCGCCCGAAGCCAUCAGGUCGAGGGCACGUCUGCCUGGGCGUCACACG